rnacentral:rRNA from 1 species
UGGGGAAUAUUGCACAAUGGGGGAAACCCUGAUGCAGCGACGCCGCGUGAGCGAAGAAGGCCUUCGGGUCGUAAAGCUCUUUUAUAUGGGAAGAUAAUGACGGUACCAUAAGAAAAAGCCCCGGCUAACUACGUGCCAGCAGCCGCGGUAAUACGUAGGGGGCUAGCGUUAUCCGGAUUUACUGGGCGUAAAGGGUGCGUAGGUGGUCUUUCAAGUCGGUGGUUAAAGGCUACGGCUCAACCGUAGUUAGCCUCCGAAACUGGAAGACUUGAGUGCAGGAGAGGAAAGUGGAAUUCCCAGUGUAGCGGUGAAAUGCGUAGAUAUUGGGAGGAACACCAGUAGCGAAGGCGGCUUUCUGGACUGCAACUGACACUGAGGCACGAAAGCGUGGGUAGCAAACAGG